AAAAUGGUGGUGACAAAUACUCCUGAGCUGCAGAGCCUACCUCUAGACUGCUCAGACCAACAGGACUAUGCCACUAAUAUCCUUUCACAUCUGGAAGCAGCAUUUGAGCACUUCUGGGCACAACUAGCAGAGAGGUUGGCAGCAUCGCAUUUCCCAUGAUCUGAUAGCGAUCAUAGAUUCUGGAGACAAGAGUCAGGGGGAACCCCUCAUGGCAAACCAACCUCACAAGCUCGAGUCUCACUACUCACCCGCUCUCCAUAGCUGAGGGCCUGUCGGGGCUUGCAACCACCGCACCGCCACUUAAGCGGAGAACCACUAAUUGGUAUCUGAGCCUAAACAUCCGGGCUUUCUGUAUUCUCCCCCAUGGGUGGAACUUGAACUCGAUGAGCUCUUGGGUCAGUGGCAUUGGAGUGUUGGCUUUCCGACCUGCCUGGGGCUGAAGGAAAAUUGCCCUCUAGCUCUGCCUGGCUGGUCGUCCCAGCGGACUUUUCAGUACCAUUCUGAGUCUACCAACUGUGGGAGUCGGCUGAGCACCUGUAAACCAGCAUAUGUUGACCUAUCAGCCAAACAUUAGGGCCUAGCAAUUUCGGUAACCACCAUUUUGUUUUUCUUGUUUUAAAAUGUUUUAAUCUCCAUCUUCCUCUGAAUGCAAUGGUCUCAGG